GGCUGGUCCAAAGGUAGUGAGUUAUCUCAACUGAUUGUUCACAGACAGUUACAGGCCAAACCCCUUGUUCUACUCUUUCCCCCUUCUCAAAACUGCAGUUGUUUUUAA
rnacentral:sRNA from 1 species